AGUUGGUGAGGUAAUGGCUCACCAAGGCGUCGACGGGUAGCCGGCCUGAGAGGGUGACCGGCCACACUGGGACUGAGACACGGCCCAGACUCCUACGGGAGGCAGCAGUGUGGAAUAUUGCACAAUGGGCGAAAGCCUGAUGCAGCAACGCCGCGUGAGGGACGACGGCCUUCGGGUUGUAAACCUCUUUUAGCAGGGAAGAAGCAAAAGUGACGGUACCUGCGGAAAAAGCACCGGCUAACUACGUGCCAGCAGCCGCGGUAAUACGUAGGGUGCAAGCGUUAUCCGGAAUUAUUGGGCGUAAAGAGCUCGUAGGCGGUUUGUCGCGUCUGCUGUGAAAACCCGAGGCUCAACCUCGGGCCUGCAGUGGGUACGGGCAGACUAGAGUGCGGUAGGGGAGAUUGGAAUUCCUGGUGUAGCGGUGGAAUGCGCAGAUAUCAGGAGGAACACCGAUGGCGAAGGCAGAUCUCUGGGCCGUAACUGACGCUGAGGAGCGAAAGGGUGGGGAGCAAACAGGCUUAGAUACCCUGGUAGUCCACCCCGUAAACGUUGGGAACUAGUUGUGGGGUCCAUUCCACGGAUUCCGUGACGCAGCUAACGCAUUAAGUUCCCCGCCUGGGGAGUACGGCCGCAAGGCUAAACUCAAAGGAAUUGACGGGGACCCGCACAAGCGGCGGAGCAUGCGGAUUAAUUCGAUGCAACGCGAAGAACCUUACCAAGGCUUGACAUAUACGAGAACGCUGCAGAAAUGUAGAACUCUUUGGACACUCGUAAACAGGUGGUGCAUGGUUGUCGUCAGCUCGUGUCGUGAGAUGUUGGGUUAAGUCCCGCAACGAGCGCAACCCUCGUUUUAUGUUGCCAGCACGUAAUGGUGGGAACUCAUGGGAUACUGCCGGGGUCAACUCGGAGGAAGGUGGGGAUGACGUCAAAUCAUCAUGCCCCUUAUGUCUUGGGCUUCACGCAUGCUACAAUGGCCGGUACAAAGGGCUGCAAUACCGUAAGGUGGAGCGAAUCCCAAAAAGCCGGUCCCAGUUCGGAUUGAGGUCUGCAACUCGACCUCAUGAAGUCGGAGUCGCUAGUAAUCGCAGAUCAGCAACGCUGCGGUGAAUACGUUCCCGGGUCUUGUACACACCGCCCGUCAAGUCAUGAAAGUCGGUAACACCUGAAGCCGGUGGCCCAACCCUUGUGGAGGGAGCCGUCGAAGGUGGGAUCGGUAAUUAGGACUAAGUCGGAACAAGGUAGCCGUACCGGAGGUGCGGCUG
rnacentral:rRNA from 1 species